rnacentral:rRNA from 1 species
GUGGGGAAUAUUGGACAAUGGGCGCAAGCCUGAUCCAGCCAUGCCGCGUGCAGGAUGAAGGCCCUCGGGUUGUAAACUGCUUUUGUACGGAACGAAAAGCCUGGGGCUAAUAUCCCCGGGUCAUGACGGUACCGUAAGAAUAAGCACCGGCUAACUACGUGCCAGCAGCCGCGGUAAUACGUAGGGUGCAAGCGUUAAUCGGAAUUACUGGGCGUAAAGCGUGCGCAGGCGGUUUUGUAAGACAGUGGUGAAAUCCCCGGGCUCAACCUGGGAACUGCCAUUGUGACUGCAAGGCUAGAGUGCGGCAGAGGGGGAUGGAAUUCCGCGUGUAGCAGUGAAAUGCGUAGAUAUGCGGAGGAACACCGAUGGCGAAGGCAAUCCCCUGGGCCUGCACUGACGCUCAUGCACGAAAGCGUGGGGAGCAAACAGGAUUAGAAACCCUAGUAGUCC